rnacentral:lncRNA from 1 species
CCCAACCCCCACCCCCGAGGGAUUUUCUUCUCUUGUGUUUUCCUAUGGUGUCACUUUAUAACGUCUGUUCAAACUUCACCUUUCGGCUUUUUCCCGAUAGCCUUCUUCCUUAAGUCCAACAAGACCACCACCACUACUACCUCUCUGUUCCCUUGAUUCUGUUUUUCUUUAUUCCUUAACACCACACACCUCUGUGUUUCCUGUCUCACCCACUUUAAGAUUUCAUCUUCAACACCUAAAUAGUUAGGACAUGGUAUAGGACGUGUUAGUUAUUUGUUGAGUGAAAGGAUUAUGAAUUAAUUGCUCGCCUCAUCAAUUAUAUCAUCGUUUUUUAAAAAGAAAUGUUUUAGUGUCAAUCAUCAACCAUAAGAGAUAAAAGAAAGAAAAACAGUAAAAGUCUUCCUUGAUAUAGAAAGAUGACAAAAAUAACCACCCAAAAAACAAAAAACAUUGACAUAUCCCCACGUGAAGGGACAUUUGUUUAUAUCCCUCUGUUUGAGUCACCCACAGCAGGAGAAGCAAAUUGCCAGCUUACAGCCCGAGGACUUUCUCCAAUGGACCUGUGCUCAGGUGCAGCCUGGACCCUGAUUUAUGCUGCAGAAAAUAGCUUCAAGGUGAAGCUGGCAGUGUCUGGAGAGGGGACUACAGAGUCUGGAGAAGUGACGUCAGCUUUCUAGAGGACCUAGCUUCCCAG